GACAUGAUGGCCGAGCGGUUAAGGCGUGUGACUAGAAAUCACAUCUCUUCGGAGGCAUAGGUUCAAAUCCUAUUCAUGUCG
rnacentral:tRNA from 1 species